UACGUAGGUGACAAGCGUUAUCCGGAAUUAUUGGGCGUAAAGCGCACGCAGGCGGCAUCUCAAGUCUGACGUGAAAGCUCCUGGCUUAACUGGGAGAGGUCGUUGGAAACUAAGGUGCUUGAGGCAAGGAGAGGGGGGCAGAAUUCCCGGUGUAGUGGUGGAAUGCGUAGAGAUCGGGAGGAAUACCAGAGGCGAAAGCGGCGCCCUGGCCUUGAACUGACGCUGAAGUGCGAAAGCGUGGGAAGCAAACGGG
rnacentral:rRNA from 1 species